AUAUUUUGGAGAUAGAGAAAACCCCUUGCUAUUUCUUAUAUAACAUACGUUUGGAUUCUCAAUUGAAAUGAAGUACAAAUAUAUUUCAGUUUUUCCAACAAUUUUUUUUUUCCCGGCUCUAACAGAUAUGAACAAUACUUCUGCACUUUGAUUCAUAGGGUCAUAAUGUUGUGUUGAUCUCCAACUGUCAGACAGUAGCUGAACCAAUGAUAAUUGCCUUGUUGCUUGAGACAUCACACCCUCAUCUUGCUGAGAAGAUGACCUAUGUUGCUGGAGAUAGGGUUGUGACAGAUCCUGUUUGCAAGCCCUUCAGCAUGGGAAGAAAUCUUGUCUGUGUAUACUCAAAGAAGCACAUGCAUGACAUUCUUGAGCUUGCUGAGAUGAAAAAGAAAGCCAAUACCCUGAGUCUCAAGGAAAUGGCUCUGCUUUUUAAGGUAUAUCUGCUUUGUUUAAUUCCUUUUCUUUCCGGUGAUACAUUUGGAAAUACCCUUCAAAAAGAUAAAGACCUUUAGAAAUGUAAAAUAUGCAGAAGAGAGAUUUGACACACCAAUGCUAGUGACAUAACAAGAAUCUAUGCAUUUAAUUAAUUUUAUUUAUUUAUUUAUUAAGGCCCAUAUGAGUUUUUAAAAGGUGCACCGAUAUUUCGAACAUUGGCUGUAAGGAGCCUGUGAAAUGUAUCUUUGCUGCCAAGCAUAUGAGACCGCAUGUGGGGGGGCCCUUAGAGUGAUGUAGACAUUGUUUGGGUCAUCCAUUUGCAAAUGAUCAAAACUGUUGAUCCUGUCCCUCAAUAGAUUUUGUCGUGAUCCAUCAUUCUGCAGCUUGUGGGAUUUGCUGGUCAGGCAAACAAUUGUGUUGAUGGAAUCCACUGUUUGGAUUAUUUAUAGCCGUCCAUUGUCCAGGAACUUGUGUGGCCAAUCUAAUAAAUUGAAUGUCCUAAAUUCCAGCAGGUCAUCUACAUGGCAGGGCCCACCUAAUGCACGGGCUGGACAAAACAUCGAGAUGGAGGUCAGAUUACUUGGCAAAGAAAAAAGGCGUUAGAGUUCCAUCGAAGGUUUUGAGAUAUUUUCCUUUGGCACCAAGGCUACAGAGGCUAUACAGGUGUGCAUUCAAUGUUAAAUAUAAUUUUAAUAUUAUCCUAUAUACAGUCCAUUGAUACAUUUGGGCAGAGAACAUCACAUUAUAGAGGUGUUACAAGUGGAUUAUGGCGAACCUGGUGAAGCAUCAGGAUGUGCAGGCCAAGCUGGUGGAAGAGAUCGAUCGGGCUGUAGUGGAUGGACGAGAAGACAUUGAAGAGGAGGAUUUGUAGCGGAUGUCAUAUCUGAAGGCAGUGAUCAUUCUAGAAAAGAACAAGGAAUCGUUGGAUUAUAGAAGCCUGGAAAUGAAAUGUUGUAUUGAAAUUGGAAAUUGAAAUUGAAAUUGAAAUGU